rnacentral:lncRNA from 1 species
CCAGAGACUCCUGAUUUGGGAUAGGCGCAAAAAUUCGGCGGGGUAAUACAUUAGUACAAAAGAAGUCCGAGUUCGAUGUCAGAAUAGGUAACAAAAUAACCUAAGCAAAAUGACAACGUGUAUAAUACUGGUGGUUAAAACCAUCAACUUCUAAACUAUUCCGUUUGGGUUUUACUCAUGGUUUAAGGCCGUGCAGUGACUUUUAACUGCAAACAUGCAGUUCAUUUAAACUUUGUUGUUUCCUUGGAAC